rnacentral:sRNA from 1 species
UUAUCGGUUUGUUUGAUGUUACAGCCAAGGGUCUGUAGCUCAGGUGGUUAGAGCACCGUCUUGAUAAGGCGGGGGUCGUAGGUUCAAGUCCUACCAGACCCACCAAGUUACGGGCGGCGGAGAGCGAUCUUGCCGUGAACUGGGGGAUUAGCUCAGCUGGGAGAGCACCUGCUUUGCAAGCAGGGGGUCGUCGGUUCGAUCCCGUCAUCCUCCACCAACACCUUGUGGUAGCCAAACGCAAGCAUCGAGAGAUCGGUGUUUGCGUUUGGCAUUGCCAAGACGAGUAGUAACUCGGCUGUUCUUUAACAAUAUGGAAUGUAGUAAAGGUGUCGCGGCGCGUUGAUGAGGCGCGCAAUUUAAACGCGACACUGGGUUGUGAUUGUAUCAACCAGUAUUACGAGUGAUCGAAAGACCGCUUGGAAUACGGCACAACGCGAGAACUCAGCCUAUAGCGAGACAUACUCGUUAUAGGGUCAAGCGAAUAAGUGCAUGUGGUGGAUGCCUUGGCGAUCACAGGCGAUGAAGGACGUAGUAGCUUGCGAAAAGCUGCGGGGAGCUGGCAAACGAGCUUUGAUCCGCAGAUGUCCGAAUGGGGAAACCCGGCCCGUAUGGGUCAUCCCUUGCUGAAUACAUAGGCAAGGGAGGCGAACGCAGUGAACUGAAACAUCUAAGUAGCUGCAGGAAAAGAAAUCAACCGAGAUUCCCAGAGUAGUGGCGAGCGAAAUGGGAACAGCCUUGUACUCUUUAGCAGUAUUGUUAGCGGAACGGAAUGGAAAGUCCGGCCAUAGUGGGUGAUAGCCCCGUACGCGAAAACAGUAUUGUGGAACUAGGUGUACGACAAGUAGGGCGGGACACGUGAAAUCCUGUCUGAAGAUGGGGGGACCAUCCUCCAAGGCUAAAUACUCGUGAUCGACCGAUAGUGAACCAGUACCGUGAGGGAAAGGCGAAAAGAACCCCGGGAGGGGAGUGAAAUAGAUCCUGAAACCGCAUGCAUACAAACAGUCGGAGCCUGGAAACGGGUGACGGCGUACCUUUUGUAUAAUGGGUCAGCGACUUACAUUCAGUGGCAAGCUUAACCGAUUAGGGAAGGCGUAGCGAAAGCGAGUCCGAAUAGGGCGUUCAGUCGCUGGGUGUAGACCCGAAACCAAGUGAUCUAUCCAUGGCCAGGUUGAAGGUGCGGUAACACGUACUGGAGGACCGAACCCACUAACGUUGAAAAGUUAGGGGAUGAGCUGUGGAUAGGGGUGAAAGGCUAAACAAACUUGGAAAUAGCUGGUUCUCUCCGAAAACUAUUUAGGUAGUGCCUCGUGUCUCACCUUCGGGGGUAGAGCACUGUCAUGGUUGGGGGGUCUAUUGCUGAUUACCCCGCCAUAGCAAACUCCGAAUACCGAAGAGUGCAAUCACGGGAGACAGACAUCGGGUGCUAACGUCCGGUGUCAAGAGGGAAACAACCCAGACCGCCAGCUAAGGUCCCUAAGAUUGGCUAAGUGGGAAACGAA